rnacentral:lncRNA from 1 species
GGCUCACUGACCCCAGCUGGGGAAAUCUUGGCCAUCUCUGGAUCCUGUUUCUUCGCCCUAAGGGAUCUUUCCUCUGAUUCUUUCUUGUUUUCCAACCAAAUGAGGCAUGCUAGGGCCAUUUGCUGACCCUAUGUCUCUCUGUCUCCAUCUCUUUGUCUGUCUGUCUCUGUGGGUGUCUCUGGCUCCCCCAGCCCCAGCUCCACCGCCCAUGAACUGGAACGGAGUACACCCAAGGACACGCAUCUGUGACCCUGUUUCAUUCCUACGUUCUUGAUAAUUUAUUAGCUGGUAAACUUCAGCCAGAAAACCAACUCAGAAGUUCUGGCUUCCCUCUGCAUGGAUCUGAGCCCUUCCUGAGAGGGAGCCCUGGCCAAGGAGAUGAUCCAACUCCUGGUACAAGCGUCUGGGAAGAAGAAAGUGGGCAGCCCUGGCUGAAGGAGCAGGCAGAGCAGCAGGACUCCAGAGAGCCUGGAAGGCAGGCUGUGUGGGGGAGGAGACUACCUGGCCACCGACUCUGCCUUCCACUCAGACACCUGAAAUUUAACCUUGGAGAACCUCUUCCAAGCCUCCUCUGCAGGUAAGUGGCGGGAUCCAUAUUGGCAGAAGGGGCUGCACCUGAAGAAUGAGCUGCAGGUGAUAGUAGGACACCCCCACUCCCACCCCAGGCCACUAAGUAGUGAGGAUGCUGCAGAAACAGCCCCACCCCAUCCUGGCUGUCAGUCAACCCACAAGGCCUCUACCAGUACAGGGCGGGUGUGUCUGGAGCCCUUGGC